AACGAACGCUGGCGGCAUGCCUAACACAUGCAAGUCGAACGAGACCUUCGGGUCUAGUGGCGCACGGGUGCGUAACGCGUGGGAACCUGCCCUUAGGUUCGGAAUAACUCCCCGAAAGGGGUGCUAAUACCGGAUAAUGUCUUCGGACCAAAGAUUUAUCGCCUUUUGAUGGGCCCGCGUUGGAUUAGCUAGUUGGUAGGGUAAAAGCCUACCAAGGCCACGAGCCAUAGCUGGUCUGAGAGGAUGAGCAGCCACACUGGGACUGAGACACGGCCCAGCAUCAUACGGGAGGAAGCAGUGGGGAAUAUUGGACAAUGGGCGAAAGCCUGAUCCAGCAAUGCCGCGGGAGUGAUGAAGGCCGUAGGGUUGUAAAGCUCUUUUACCCGGGAUGAUAAUGACAGUACCGGGAGAAUAAGCUCCGGCUAACUCCGUG
rnacentral:rRNA from 1 species